GGUUAAGCGACUAAGCGUACACGGUGGAUGCCCUGGCAGUCAGAGGCGAUGAAGGACGUGCUAAUCUGCGAUAAGCGUCGGUAAGGUGAUAUGAACCGUUAUAACCGGCGAUUUCCGAAUGGGGAAACCCAGUGUGUUUCGACACACUAUCAUUAACUGAAUCCAUAGGUUAAUGAGGCGAACCGGGGGAACUGAAACAUCUAAGUACCCCGAGGAAAAGAAAUCAACCGAGAUUCCCCCAGUAGCGGCGAGCGAACGGGGAGCAGCCCAGAGCCUGAAUCAGUGUGUGUGUUAGUGGAAGCGUCUGGAAAGGCGCGCGAUACAGGGUGACAGCCCCGUACACAAAAAUGCACAUGCUGUGAGCUCGAUGAGUAGGGCGGGACACGUGGUAUCCUGUCUGAAUAUGGGGGGACCAUCCUCCAAGGCUAAAUACUCCUGACUGACCGAUAGUGAACCAGUACCGUGAGGGAAAGGCGAAAAGAACCCCGGCGAGGGGAGUGAAAAAGAACCUGAAACCGUGUACGUACAAGCAGUGGGAGCACGCUUAGGCGUGUGACUGCGUACCUUUUGUAUAAUGGGUCAGCGACUUAUAUUCUGUAGCAAGGUUAACCGAAUAGGGGAGCCGAAGGGAAACCGAGUCUUAACUGGGCGUUAAGUUGCAGGGUAUAGACCCGAAACCCGGUGAUCUAGCCAUGGGCAGGUUGAAGGUUGGGUAACACUAACUGGAGGACCGAACCGACUAAUGUUGAAAAAUUAGCGGAUGACUUGUGGCUGGGGGUGAAAGGCCAAUCAAACCGGGAGAUAGCUGGUUCUCCCCGAAAGCUAUUUAGGUAGCGCCUCGUGAAUUCAUCUCCGGGGGUAGAGCACUGUUUCGGCAAGGGGGUCAUCCCGACUUACCAACCCGAUGCAAACUGCGAAUACCGGAGAAUGUUAUCACGGGAGACACACGGCGGGUGCUAACGUCCGUCGUGAAGAGGGAAACAACCCAGACCGCCAGCUAAGGUCCCAAAGUCAUGGUUAAGUGGGAAACGAUGUGGGAAGGCCCAGACAGCCAGGAUGUUGGCUUAGAAGCAGCCAUCAUUUAAAGAAAGCGUAAUAGCUCACUGGUCGAGUCGGCCUGCGCGGAAGAUGUAACGGGGCUAAACCAUGCACCGAAGCUGCGGCAGCGACACUAUGUGUUGUUGGGUAGGGGAGCGUUCUGUAAGCCUGUGAAGGUGUGCUGUGAGGCAUGCUGGAGGUAUCAGAAGUGCGAAUGCUGACAUAAGUAACGAUAAAGCGGGUGAAAAGCCCGCUCGCCGGAAGACCAAGGGUUCCUGUCCAACGUUAAUCGGGGCAGGGUGAGUCGACCCCUAAGGCGAGGCCGAAAGGCGUAGUCGAUGGGAAACAGGUUAAUAUUCCUGUACUUGGUGUUACUGCGAAGGGGGGACGGAGAAGGCUAUGUUGGCCGGGCGACGGUUGUCCCGGUUUAAGCGUGUAGGCUGGUUUUCCAGGCAAAUCCGGAAAAUCAAGGCUGAGGCGUGAUGACGAGGCACUACGGUGCUGAAGCAACAAAUGCCCUGCUUCCAGGAAAAGCCUCUAAGCAUCAGGUAACAUCAAAUCGUACCCCAAACCGACACAGGUGGUCAGGUAGAGAAUACCAAGGCGCUUGAGAGAACUCGGGUGAAGGAACUAGGCAAAAUGGUGCCGUAACUUCGGGAGAAGGCACGCUGAUAUGUAGGUGAAGUCCCUCGCGGAUGGAGCUGAAAUCAGUCGAAGAUACCAGCUGGCUGCAACUGUUUAUUAAAAACACAGCACUGUGCAAACACGAAAGUGGACGUAUACGGUGUGACGCCUGCCCGGUGCCGGAAGGUUAAUUGAUGGGGUUAGCGGUAACGCGAAGCUCUUGAUCGAAGCCCCGGUAAACGGCGGCCGUAACUAUAACGGUCCUAAGGUAGCGAAAUUCCUUGUCGGGUAAGUUCCGACCUGCACGAAUGGCGUAAUGAUGGCCAGGCUGUCUCCACCCGAGACUCAGUGAAAUUGAACUCGCUGUGAAGAUGCAGUGUACCCGCGGCAAGACGGAAAGACCCCGUGAACCUUUACUAUAGCUUGACACUGAACAUUGAGCCUUGAUGUGUAGGAUAGGUGGGAGGCUUUGAAGUGUGGACGCCAGUCUGCAUGGAGCCGACCUUGAAAUACCACCCUUUAAUGUUUGAUGUUCUAACGUGGACCCGUGAUCCGGGUUGCGGACAGUGUCUGGUGGGUAGUUUGACUGGGGCGGUCUCCUCCUAAAGAGUAACGGAGGAGCACGAAGGUUGGCUAAUCCUGGUCGGACAUCAGGAGGUUAGUGCAAUGGCAUAAGCCAGCUUGACUGCGAGCGUGACGGCGCGAGCAGGUGCGAAAGCAGGUCAUAGUGAUCCGGUGGUUCUGAAUGGAAGGGCCAUCGCUCAACGGAUAAAAGGUACUCCGGGGAUAACAGGCUGAUACCGCCCAAGAGUUCAUAUCGACGGCGGUGUUUGGCACCUCGAUGUCGGCUCAUCACAUCCUGGGGCUGAAGUAGGUCCCAAGGGUAUGGCUGUUCGCCAUUUAAAGUGGUACGCGAGCUGGGUUUAGAACGUCGUGAGACAGUUCGGUCCCUAUCUGCCGUGGGCGCUGGAGAACUGAGGGGGGCUGCUCCUAGUACGAGAGGACCGGAGUGGACGCAUCACUGGUGUUCGGGUUGUCAUGCCAAUGGCACUGCCCGGUAGCUAAAUGCGGAAGAGAUAAGUGCUGAAAGCAUCUAAGCACGAAACUUGCCCCGAGAUGAGUUCUCCCUGAC
rnacentral:rRNA from 1 species